GAUUUCUUGGUGUAGAUGGUUAUCACGUCUGUCUAACACACAGACGGUCGCCGGUUCGAGUCCGGCAGAAAUCA
rfam:Zancudomyces culisetae strain COL-18-3 scaffold-1495, whole genome shotgun sequence.